rnacentral:lncRNA from 1 species
UUUAGUAAUUUAUGCCAUAUAUUAACCGUCGGUUACCAAAUUCAAAUCGCGUCAGUUUUAUACAAUUAGUUCUCAAUUAUGUUAUUGUUUAUAUCGAUAAUUAUUAUGAGUAUGUAAUGACACAUUAAUGCUAGAAGCAAUUGGUGAUGCAAAUGAGUUAGCUUUGCAAGUCACCACUACGUUAUUGACAUUUAUUGGUUCAGUAAUUUUAUUGCAUAUGCAUUAUGUCGAUGUGAAUUAAAUUGUUUCCGUUAUAAUUUAAUUUAUUUCGGUUUCAUAUAAUUACUUUCACAUUAAGUUUGUAUGUUACGAUUUAAUAACAUAUAUUGCAUUGGUUUAUGUUAUAUUGGUGAAUAUUAAUGAUGUUAAGUCAGAAGCUUAAAUCAAGCCUGAAUAUACACAAAUUGAGCCAGAAGCUCGACACAAGCUGCAAGGCUAGCACAUAAGCUGCCACGUGUCGCCAUGAGUCUAUACAAUGAAUAUAAUUCUUCUCAAACUAGGCUCACCCAGUUGGAUGCGAUGUCUAGGCAAGUACUUUUGAGGAUGUGUACUUAAGUGAGCCUCGCUCCACCACCUCAUCAUGGCUUACCUGGUCGUAUACAAUUGGAGUUACCGAAAGGGAUGAUUAAUAACAUUGCAUUUCUUGGUAGACCAUUAUUAGCUCAGUCGGCCUGUUCACCCUCUACGGGACCUAAAAGCCUAGCAUAUCUCUCAGAUUGUGCCCCGUAGGCUUGUAAAGUAUGUAGAGGCUAGGUUUAUUUAUUUCACUUUAAUUUCAGUCAAUUCCUUUGGUCCAGCAGAAUCAAACAAAAAGAAAAUAAUCUAAUGACACUGGAUUUUCGUACCUAGUCAUUAUGAAUGUCUAUAGGACUCUACAAAUAUUUUCUCAUAAUGGCUAUUGUUAAUAUAUUCAUCAUAUUUAAUGUGUAGAUAAUUACCAGAAGCAUUUACACAUAGUUACGUGACAUAUUCACUAUGCUAAAUUAGUAGCGUGGAAUUAAUAUCAUCAAUUGUUACAUGAUUAUAACUUGAAAAUACAUGUACCUAAUGAACCAGUAGUUCAAAAAUGAACCGGUAGUUCAGACAUGAACCCGUAGUUCAUGUAUAUAUUGAUCUUCUAGUUUCGAUAAUAAUCCCCUUAAAAACUUGAAGUUUCAUUCCAAAUUCAUCAGACAUG